rnacentral:rRNA from 1 species
GACGAACGCUGGCGGCGUGCUUAACACAUGCAAGUCGAACGGAAAGGCCCUGCUUUUGUGGGGUGCUCGAGUGGCGAACGGGUGAGUAACACGUGAGUAACCUGCCCUUGACUUUGGGAUAACUUCAGGAAACUGGGGCUAAUACCGGAUAGGAGCUCCUGCUGCAUGGGGGGGGAUGGAGAGAUUCGGCGGUUGGGGCUGGUCUCGAGGCUUAUCAGCUUGUUGGGGGGGUAGUGGCUUUCCAAGGGUUUGACGGGUAGCCGGCCUGGGAGGUUGAACGGCCACAUUGCGACUGAGGUACGGCCCAGACUCCUACGGGAGGCAGCAGUGGGGAAUAUUGCACAAUGGGCGGAAGCCUGAUGCAGCAACGCCGCGUGCGGGAUGACGGCCUUCGGGUUGUAAACCGCUUUCUCCUGUGACGAAGCGUGAGUGACGGUAAUGGGUAAAGAAGCACCGGCUAACUACGUG